UUUUUUUGGCGGGAAGACUCACUCUGGCCCAGGCUAUCUUGAAACUCACCAUGUAGGUUAAGCUAGUCUGGAACUUGAUUCUCUUCCUUCAGCCACCCAAGUUCAUUCUUUCCUGUGUGUGUGUGUGUGUGUGUGUGUGUGUGUGUGUGUGUGUGUGUGUGUGUGUGUGUGUUGGGGGUGACUAACAGGUGUGGUGCUAAUGACUGACCCUAGGGCCUCAUUCGUGCCAGCAAGUACUCUGACACCAAGCUGUCUUUUUUGAAAGUCUCAUGUAGCCCAUGCUGUCAUGGAAUUCUUGACCCUCUCAAGUGUUAGCAGUAUGGGCAUGCACCUCCAACACUGACAAUCAGACCUACACAUAGUGUGUCUACCAGUGAACUAUACCCUCAGCCCCUCCUAAUCUCCAGACCAGAAAUGGAAGCUGCAUAGUGGCUCAUACUGGUAACCCUAGCACACAGGAGACUCGGGCAGGAGGACUGCCAUGAGCUCUAGACCAGCAUGAGACCCAGCCAAGAGCCGGACUCAGCGUCACUGCACUCUCAGGAUCAACUGUACCGGGGGCAGGGAGUGCCUAGCGAUUUAUCUAGAGGAGUACAGAAAAAAUGUUCGGGUUUUAGGACUCACUACCUGUCACUUUACAAGUUUCUCAAACUGCUGUCUGGAAACCACCAUGACUUCCCCAAUCCUCCACAAAGCCCCGCCCCGAAACCAGACUUGAUUUCAGUCUUACUCUGGACUUGCAAAGAAAGGUGAAGAUAAACUCUUAACAAACUGCUUCGCUUAACAAAUAUAUAUAUGUAUAUAUAUACAUAUAUAUAUUUCUCCAACUGGGGCUCAUACAGUUGGAGAAAUUUCUCAUUCAAAUCUACUCGGCCAGUGGCCUCCGGCCGAUCUAGACCUUUAAAAACCACCCAUCCAUCUCGCACACCUCUCCAGGGCUACCUGUUGCCAUGGUGAUGAGGACGGGCUCCCGCAGAGGCUCCGGCUGUGGUCGCAGCAGGCUAGAGAGGCUGAAGACAGUGCUGGACACGCUGACCAUCAGCCAAUCCCCGUCUAGGGCCCGCGGGCAGCUCUGCUGCGAGAUCAGAUGUCUAGCCCAGUUCGCUGAGGCGGGGAACGGGAUGAAGCGGGUCAUCUCGCAGUGUGGUGCGGGGGCGCCCGAGGGGUACCGCCUGAAGGCAGCCAGGAGCAUCCCUGCUCGGUCUGCGGGAGGGGAUCGAAAGGAUGCAACUGUAGCCCCGGCUGGAAAUGUUGGGACUAUACACAGACCGGGAUGCACGUACAACGAAGUUUAGGGAAAAGCCAGGCUUAUUUACAAAGUGGGAAACUGACCCAGGGUCCCUUCGUGAACUAAAGGGGAGGCAGGGUGGACUCAGGUGAGUCCCGAAGACUCACCAUCCACCUUCAAGUACAGCUUAGGGUCAAGGUCUGGCCGGGGUGGGGGGCCCCUGGGUCCCUGGCGCAGCAGCAAUGUGGCAGGUUUCUUGUUCAGGGCACCCCCACCUGCAUCUUCCACGAACCAGCACUCAAUCGCCUCCAGCCCAGCAGAGACGGCGGGCACCAGGCCUGCGGGACAGGGGCUCCGGUGACCUGGAGGUCCAACGACCUGCCCCACCCCUUCGGGCCCGAGACGGGACCACCUCCCUCUCCUUCCCAGUGUGCCCUUUCCUGAACGAGAAGAAGUGGGGUUCGCUCACCCAAAGCCACAGCGAUGAGCAGGGGCAGAGGCUUCAUGGCGCUGCGCUCUCUAAGUCCCCUCUUGCCCCUUUCACUUUCAUUUUCCUCCAAAGGCCAGCGCGAGGCACCGGAAACUCCCGCUCUGGUCAGAUGAGGCUCGCUGGAGGCUCGCAACCCACUAGGGCCAAAACCCGCCUCCAGUCCUCCAGCCCCUCCGCGCUCAGCACGCCCUCCUGGAUCGCUCAGCACCACCCUCGAGCCCUAGGAGCCCAGGCUCCUCCCUCCCCUGCGUCCUCAGCGCCACCUCCCUUCGACCGGUUACUGCCGCGGUCUCCGGCCUCCCCAACAGGUGCCAGGUCCCAGCAAACACAGAGGGGUGGUCAGGAAGCCAAGUCAAGUGACCAAUAAAUAUUUUAAUCGCCGUUAAGAAUUAAAACCUAAA